UAAUAUUUCGAUUUUCUUUUUUUUCUUUUAUUUUCUUUUGAUCAAUCAAGGAUUUACCUGUCUUUAUUUCUUUUGUCUUCAUGAUCUUGCAUGUCGGAUCUUAAUAACUUCUGUUUUUUUCUCGAGAAAUAAACAGAUAAUUUUCAAUUUCUCUUUUUCUCUUGCCCCUUUUCACCUCAGAAAUCAAGAAAGAAACCUAAUAUUUCAUUACGGUGUCAAUGAUUUAAUAAUCGAACUUUGAGUUGUUUACCCAUCGAAAGUUAGGGUUCGUGAAAUUGAAAUUACUAUUUAGGAUUGAUCAUAAUUUCAGCUUUGUAUUUGGGAUCUUGCAACACAGUUCUAAUUAUUUUUUAUUUUUCUGGGAAUACAUUUAAUUGAUUAAUAAUGGGUCCAUUGAUGUAAUUGGAAAAAAAAAAAUCAAGCAAGUCAAGUUUUGAGUUUGAGUUGAUUUUGAUUGGAUUCAACUUGAUAUUGACGACAAGAAAGUAAAUAAAUAAAUAAAUAUAUGUACUUGGUUGGGAGAAGAAUGUAAAAAAAGUGAUUGGCUUGGCUAAUUGUAGUGGAAUCUAUCCCUGGUGUGUUUUGGGGGAAUGAAAUAAGGAGAAGCUGAAAAAGCGAAGAAAAAUGGAUGAGGAAGAGACUGUAAAACUCUCUCCCUCCCUCUCCUCUGGGUUAGGAACAGAGAAGUGUGUAUCAGUAGUUUGGAUGAGGAAAAAGUCAGACAUUUUAUGGAUAACAAAGCAGCUUGUGAGGAGAUUUCUCAGGAACUUGCACGGGAGUCACUUAUUGGUAUAUCUUAUUGCCUACCAGAUAAGAUUCAAAAUUCAGAAGGUGUGCCUCAGAGUGUCAAUGACGAGGAAAAGCUUCCAGUCAUAAAUGGUGAUGGAGCUGAAAAGUAUAGAUCAGAACUAAUUUCCAUUUCAGACAUUCAAUCACCUGAUACUGCAACAUCACCAGUGGCAUCAGAGAACCACGAGGGUUAGCAAGAACCAGUCUUUCCCUGAAAAGUUGUUGUAGCAUAUUCUCCUGGUUUAAUUUCUCGCAGAACUCUUAACUGUUGUGUUUUGGGUUUAAACCAAUGACUGGUUGUGCUGUCUGCUUCUGUUGAUAUUAAUACAAACAAGAAAAUACAGAAGUUUUAUGUACAGAUUACGGUACUUAUUACUGUAAAAGAAGUUUUUCUAUAAAAAAAAAACAGAUGUGUUUCGGUAA